GCAAUUAAUAAAUGAUUUGGCUUCAUUUACAGCUUUCUCGUUUCUUUGCAGGCAAUUUAUAUGUUUUUUUACAGUUAUAUGUUUACUAAUGCAGUUAGACUAAUAUUAGGCCUAAAAUUAUUGAUCUGGGGUGGAAUUGGAUCACGAAUUCUGGAAUUGUUGGCAUCGGGAUCUGCUGGAGGAAAUGCGGUUGAAUGAAUAUUUAUCCAAAAUUUGAAAUCGGUGAUUGAAUUUCUUCAAACGAAAAAGGAAACGUUUUCAUUUGGGAAGCAAAAGGAGUGACUUUCCGAUACGUCUCAAAUAUAAGAAAAUUCUGUCCGGAUUGCGGAACAAGUGGAUUGAGGCUAUAACGGAUCUCACAAAUAAUCUGUCCGUUCAAAUUAGCUGCGUUCUGGUUGAAAAGAUCAAAGGACAGUCAACAACCGGACACGUACGUUGAAGAACAUUGGAAUGAAUUAUCGUACCAUCUUGAUUUUAUAAACAAGUGUAUUUUUAAUUUUUUAUAUAACCAUCUUUCUACCCGAGUUUGCCGGAUAUCAAAGCUAUCCAGUAGUAGCGUAUCUGCGUGAAAUGGCGCCCUAGUGACGUAUCUGCGUGAAAUGGCGCCUAUGGAAAUGUUUAAAAUGCACCCUUUUGGGUGUUUUUAACUACGGGUUUUUGCUUUGGAAUACUCUUUACGUUAUUUCAGUAGUUUUUAUCAAAAUGAGGUUUUGCCCAUUGUGCGCCCUUAUCCUAAUGGCGCCAGUGGCAGGGGCAGUGGCCCUCGUGCUACAUAUGUCUGCCACUGAGCCCAGGUAUCGCCCAGAAAUUCACAAUUCUUCAUUUCGUGUCUGAUCAUGGCAGCAAAGCUUGAUAUCUCAAUGUUGUUCGCUUUUAAACAAUCCGUCCUUGCAUUCCCAUUAAUAUCUCAACUUUAUCCACCUCUUCUCAUACUUUUUUUUUCCGAAGACUAGAUGUAGACCUUUGUUCAUUCUCUUGCUUGAAUAAUAAUAAAAUUAUUGAAGCAAU